GACCGUGAGGUAAACAUGGAAUAUAAGAAGUCAGCCGAGGUCGUAGUAGUGAAGAGAGUUAGUGAAAACUAAAAGGAGCGAAGGAC
rnacentral:ncRNA from 1 species